AUGAAGUCCUUCUCUCAGCUCCUGUGGCUGUUAAUGCUAUGGAUCCCUGGAUGCAGUGGAGAUGUUGUGCUCACCCAGACUCCACUCUCCCUGCCUGUCACCCUGGGAGAGCCGGCCUCCAUCUCCUGCAGGUCUAGUCAGAGCCUCCUGCAUAGCAAUGGAAAAAACUAUUUGUACUGGUACCUGCAGAAGCCAGGCCAGUCUCCACAACUCCUGAUCUAUUGGGGUUCCAACCGAGCAUCUGGGGUCCCAGAAAGGUUCCGUGGCAGCGGUUCAGGCACGGAUUUCACACUGACCAUCAGCAGGGUGGAGGCUGAGGAUUUUGGGGUUUAUUACUGUUUUCAAGGUACACAUGUUCCUCCCACAAUGAUACAGGCCCGAACAAAAACCUCCAUUCUGGCCCUCAUGCAUUGCUGGUCUGGGGAGCAGCAGAGCAUAUUUUCUGGGGGGGAAAAGGGAAGAAAAAAGAAGAGAAGCACAAAGAGCACAAUAAAAAACCUAUUGUUUCCACAUGAAAAGAUGAAGAAAAUAAUUGAACAAAUGAGGUCUCAAGAGAUAUAUAAAAGGUAUCAAAUGGAAAUCUGA